rnacentral:rRNA from 1 species
UACACUCCUACGGGAGGCAGCAGUGGGGAAUUUUGGACAAUGGGCGAAAGCCUGAUCCAGCAAUGCCGCGUGAGUGAAGAAGGCCUUCGGGUUGUAAAGCUCUUUUGUCAGGGAAGAAACGGUGAAAGCUAAUAUCUUUUGCUAAUGACGGUACCUGAAGAAUAAGCACCGGCUAACUACGUGCCAGCAGCCGCGGUAAUACGUAGGGUGCAAGCGUUAAUCGGAAUUACUGGGCGUAAAGCGUGCGCAGGCGGUUUUGUAAGUCUGAUGUGAAAUCCCCGGGCUCAACCUGGGAAUUGCAUUGGAGACUGCAAGGCUAGAAUCUGGCAGAGGGGGGUAGAAUUCCACGUGUAGCAGUGAAAUGCGUAGAUAUGUGGAGGAACACCGAUGGCGAAGGCAGCCCCCUGGGUCAAGAUUGACGCUCAUGCACGAAAGCGUGGGGAGCAAACAGGAUUAGAAACCCGUGUAGUCCCAU